CCGUCUCAUCGUUUAAAAUAAUAAUAAUAAUAAUAAUAAUAAAAAAUACGUGUCAUAUACACUAAAGGUAAAAGAAUCCAGUCGAGAACGGGCGACGGAGCAGGAGAAUCUACGGCUCGUUUGUUUGCGUGCGUGCGCGCGCGCGUCUCUCUGCAGCCUCUCGCCGCGUCGCGGUAGUCAUCGUCGGCCGUAUAUAUAGUAUAUACCUCGCCUCGCCGCCGCAUCAUCUGACGGCCGUACCUACCUAUAUAUUAUUAUAUUUAUUAUAUAUGUACCUAUCUAUACAUAUACACUCACGAGCACAUAGUGUCCGCCGCGGUGGGUUACACGACGACGACGACGGCUAAGUCGACGACGAAGACGACGAAGACGACUGACUACUACUACGACGGGUUUAAAAAAUAAGUAUAAAAAAAAAAGCCGGCCGCUGCCUCGGCUAUUCAAUAAUGAAUACACACACACACACACACCGGAGCCAAAGACUAUGUACAGGACACACAUACGCGCGUAUUAUAUAUAUAUAUAUAUUUACAUAUACGAAAAAAGAAAAAAGAAACCGACAGAGUGUCUGUGUGUGUGUGAGUGCGAGCUCAAUGAACUUUGUGAGUCCGCGGGACACCCUCCACAGUGUAAUAUAGUAUAUAUAUAUAUAUACAUAUUAUUAUCAUGUGUGGUGGACGUGUCUGGCAGGGUGGUUAGUGGAAUGCCAGAAAACCGAGUGGUAGGUACAGUGGUAUACCUAUGGAAUAAGAAUAAUAAAUCGAUAUUAAUUUUUAUAGUGAUCGCAUUAUAAUAAUAAUUUAGCUCGACUAAUCAUAAAAAUCUGUUGUCGAUCUCGUUGGUGAUCCUCAUCGUCCUGUACAACGAGGGGGUGCAGGUGGUUUGUGGUGCAUAGGUAUUAUCAAGAUAAGUAAUAAGGAAGGUGAGAUAUACACUCAUAUAAAGGUAUAAGAACGCAACAGAUAUAGAUCAGCAUAUUGACCUACGCAGUGCUUGAAUUGGGAAAAAAUCAUAAGUGAGAUGCAAAGGUGUGAAAAAAAUUUGCCGAACUGCAUAUUGAGAUAUUGUCCUGUUGUUAUCGACAGUCGUAAUAAUGGAUACACAGUUAGAAGUAGCACCCAUAAAUAUAUUUUUUAAGAAGAAGAACUCGAUCCUCCCCCCGCGGACUCUAUCUAUCUUGCAACCACCGUACCUACCUAUAUAUAGGUACUUGGACCGCAUAUAUAUAGUUUUCGUGCUUAUAAAUAUAAUAAUAUAUAUAUAUAUAUAUACAUACUAUUAUGUAUUACGUGUGACGCCGAUCUAUAUCUGAGCCGUUUAUCGAUCCGCACGCCAACCUCUAUCGCGCGCGUUGUGCCUACGCAGUGGCGAUCGAAUCAGUCGAUAAAGUCGUUUGCCGCUGCUAACGAGACGGUCCCGAGAAGUUUUUUACCAAGUUUUUUUUUUUUUUUAUUGCUUCGACUAUAAUAUAAUAAUAUGUUCAUGCGUAUCGUAUAUAUAGGUAGGUACCAGCUACUCGCGCGCAUUUGAAUAAUUUCGACGGACACUCGCCAACACGUGACACGCACGCACACACAUUAUAUUGUUAUUCGUGUCUGCAGCGCGACAAUGCAAACUGUCGCGGGCGGAAACCGUAAACUUUUAAACGAAACCUUUUUCCAAUUCUUCGGGAAAUUCGACGAGUUUAAAAACCCGUUCGCGUAUUCACCGUCGUCGUCGUAAUAAUAUACAUACUAUUAUCGUAAUAACACGAAUACGUCGAGGUCCAAAUUCGGAGACAUAUAAUUCAAUACAAUAUCGAAAACGUCGUGAACGCGCGUCCUAAAUACUUAAAUGUUUAUCGUCUGCUACAGGUCCUCUCCGGCGUGGACGUAAUAAUAUAAUAUAUUAUUGUUGCGAUUAUUAUUAUAUUGUCACACACGUCGCGUAGUCCGAUGUCGUUGACGAAACUCAGUCACCAUAACGAUAUUAUGCAAUAAUAAUACAUUUUGACAAUGAUUUUCGCAGGCACGAACGAUUGCUCUCGAGAGUUGGACGUUUACAAAAUUUGAGGAUCCGAAAGACGUCCGACGAUGCGUCUCUGUUGUUGUCUAGUCGACGGAUAUGUGACGGGGUUGGUCAGCUGUUAUACAUUAUUUCAUUGUAUGGUUUUCCCUCCUGAGGAGAGAUUAACCACAAGGGUCAGCGGUAUGCGGUCGUCGGUAUACUAUAUUAUGUGGAGACGAGUCGACCGAAAACUCUAUAUCACUUGAUGAGUACCGGUGAAAAUGUGCAGCUGAAAAACGUUAAUAACAGAGCCUUACGAUUUCCUGAACGAUGACCUGCGCAGUGCACGACACAUGCACCCGUCAAUGCAAAACGUUCAACGAGCUGCACCAAAUAUGCAGAUGACAACAGCCACAUCGUGUGAAAUAAAAAAGUCGUCGACAAGUCUGUAGCCGUUCUCGACGAAUCACAAUCACGUAUUUUUAACUCGAAUUUGAGCAUAAAAUAUGUAUUUUAUAAUAUACAGUAUAAUCCGACGCAAAACAAUAGUGGUUUAGAAUCGUUCGAAAAUUAUUAUUAGUUAAUCGGACCGAUUAAACAUUAAAUAGAGCUUUGCAAUUUGUACUGUGCACAGGGGCCGCGUGCUCACCGGGGGGGGGGGGGUCAUGAGGUUCAAACCCUCCCCAUUGACGGUAUUAUUUUUAUUUUUUAUUAUAAAACAAAUAAUGCAUCUUUAUAAUGUACUUUUCGAAUUAUAUUAUCAUAAAAUUUCCCAAUUCGUGUUCUAUCGUUAAAUGCUUCCAACUUCGAAUAUGUACACUGCCCCGCAGUUGCCGAUACUUUUAAUAGGUACUCAAAAUAUAAAUUUGUUUUUUAGGCUUUCAGUGUUUAUUUUCUGGAACUUAUUCAGAAAACUUUGAUGAACUUGUUGAA
rnacentral:lncRNA from 1 species